rnacentral:rRNA from 1 species
UACCUGGGUUUGACAUUAUAGUGACCGAUGUAGAAAUACAUUUUCCCGCAAGGGCGCUAUAACAGGUGCUGCAUGGCUGUCGUCAGCUCGUGCCAUGAGGUGUCCGGUUAAGUCCGACAACGAGCGCAACCCGUGUCAUUAGUUACCAUCAGGUAAAGCUGGGGACUCUAAUGAGACUGCCUGUGUUAAGCAGGAGGAAGGAGCGGAUGACGUCAAGUCCGUAUGGCCCUUACAUCCAGGGCUGCACACGUGCUACAAUGGUCGGUACAGAAGGAAGCAAAGCCGCGAGGCAGAGCAGAUCCCGAAAGCCGAUCUUAGUUCAGAUUGCAGUCUGCAACUCGACUGCAUGAAGCCGGAAUCGCUAGUAAAGGCGUAUCAGCUACGACGCCUUGAAUACGUUCCCGGGCCUUGUACACACCGCCCGUCACAUCAUGGGAGCUGAUUGCACCCGAAGUCGCUGACUCAACCAGCAAUGGAGAGAGGCGCCUAAGGAGCGGUUGGUGACUGGGAUGAAGUCGUAACAAGGUAACCUA